GACGAACGCUGGCGGCGUGCCUAAUACAUGCAAGUUGAGCGCUGAAGGUUGGUACUUGUACCAACUGGAUGAGCAGCGAACGGGUGAGUAACGCGUGGGGAAUCUGCCUUUGAGCGGGGGACAACAUUUGGAAACGAAUGCUAAUACCGCAUAAAAACUUUAAACACAAGUUUUAAGUUUGAAAGAUGCAAUUGCAUCACUCAAAGAUGAUCCCGCGUUGUAUUAGCUAGUUGGUGAGGUAAAGGCUCACCAAGGCGAUGAUACAUAGCCGACCUGAGAGGGUGAUAGGCCACAUUGGGACUGAGACACGGCCCAAACUCCUACGGGAGGCAGCAGUAGGGAAUCUUCGGCAGUGGACGAAAGUCUGACCGAGCAACGCCGCGUGAGUGAAGAAGGUUUUCGGAUCGUAAAACUCUGUUGGUAGAGAAGAACGUUGGUGAGAGUGGAAAGCUCAUCAAGUGACGGUAACUACCCAGAAAGGGACGGCUAACUACGUG
rnacentral:rRNA from 1 species